rnacentral:lncRNA from 1 species
AGCCCCUCAUUGCCCGGGGCCGGCAGGGCCGGCCGCCUGCUCAGAGUGCGGGGCCUGCCAAGCCCACGCCCACCCGGAACUCCAGCUGGCGCGCAAGCUCCGCGCGCAGCCCUGGUUCCCGCUCGCGCCUCUCCCUCCACACCUCCCUGCAAGCUGAGGGAGUUGGCUCCGGCCUUGGCCAGCCCAGAAAGGGGCUCCCACAGUGCAGCGGUGGGCCGAAGGGCUCCUCAAGUGACGCCAAAGUGGGAGACCAAGCAGAGGAGGUGCCAAGAGCAAGCGAGGGGCUGUGAGGACUGCCAGCACGCUGUCACCUCUCACCGGGGCCGAGGAACAGGAGCACCGCAGACCUUCUGGACAGUCAGACUGGCUUUGGAAAUGAUUAAAAGUUGAUCUGGGCCUGGGCAGAAGGGCAUGGCUGUUAGCCAAAGCUGAACUGCAUUCAUCUUCAAAGACUUAAGAGAAGCAGCCCCUUCUACCCUCAGCCACCAGGACCAUUCUGUCACAUUCUGUGGGAGGCUCCUGCUAAUGGAAUGAGGCCACUCACAGAGCUUGGUCAAUUAGCUCUUGCUGAAAACUGCUAACGUGGAACUUUGGGUUGUGACUGCAGGUUGUCCAGGUUCUUGGCCUAUUGAACAAAGAAUUGGACAAAAUGCCCAGCAAGGCAAAGAAAGAAUGAAGCAACAAAAGAAUGAAAAUGGGGAUUUAUCGAAAACGAAAGUACACUCCAUGGUUUGGGAGUGGACCGAGCAGCAGCUCAAGGGCCCAGAUACGGAAUCUUCUUGGGUCCAAAUAUCCUCUAGAAGUUUCCCAUUGGCCACAUCAUGCUCACCUCAUGUAAAUGAAGUGGUGGCCUGCAAUCAGUCUGAUUGGUUACAGAAAGCAGCCAACCAGAGGCUGAAGUGAAGUUACAAAGGUUACACUCCUGUUCAACCAAUCAGAGACUAGGGUGAAGUUACAAAGUUAUACUUCUAUUGAAACGAAGAUGUGGCCAGCAAUCAGUCUGAUUGGUUGUGGACAGCAGCCAUUCAGAGGCUGGAGUGAAGUUACAAAGUGGCAAACAAAGACUGGACCUUCAAUCAAUCUGAUUGGUUGUGGACAGCCAAUUUCCCAUCUGCCUAGCAGAAAAGGUGAGGGGGUUGCAAAGGGAGUAGCCUGUGGUCCUUUUGUUACUUAGGCAUGGAAAGGUAGGGUUCUGCCUUCAAUUUAGUUCUAGGAAGUCGGUGUGAAACAGGCUUAGGUUCCCUGUGUCCAGACCCUAUUCUCCUGCCUCAAUAUUGGUAUCACCCAAUGAUCACCCAGUGACCAUAACCAAGGAGGAUUUAGCAAUGGGAUUUUGUUACUUGUAACAGGGAACCAGCAGGGACAGUUCCCAAGGCAGUGUGUCUCUGAGCUGGGCACUGGGUCAAAUUUUAGAAGCAUAGGCUAACGAGGUGUGAUGUUACUGGAAACUGCCAUGGGGGUGACACCAGAGCUCCAACUGCUUUUUUUUUUUUUAAUUUAUUAUUAUUAUACUUUAAGUUUUAGGGUACAUGUGCACAAUGUGCAGGUUAGUUACAUAUGUAUACAUGUGCCAUGCUGGUGCGCUGCACCCACUAACUCGUCAUCUAGCAUUAGGUAUAUCUCCCAGUGCUAUCCCUCUCCCCUCCCCCCACCCCACAACAGUCCCCAGAGUGUGAUGUUCCCCUUCCUGUGUCCAUGUGUUCUCAUUAUUCAAUUCCCACCUAUGAGUGAGAAUAUGCGGUGUUUGGUUUUUUGUUCUUGCAAUAGUUUACUGAGAAUGAUGAUUUC